AUUGAACGCUGGCGGCAGGCCUAACACAUGCAAGUCGAGCGGUAACACAGAGAGCUUGCUCUCGGGUGACGAGCGGCGGACGGGUGAGUAAUGUCUGGGAAACUGCCUGGUGGAGGGGGAUAACUACUGGAAACGGUAGCUAAUACCGCAUAACGUCGCAAGACCAAAGAGGGGGACCUUCGGGCCUCUUGCCAUCAGAUGUGCCCAGAUGGGAUUAGCUAGUAGGUGGGGUAACGGCUCACCUAGGCGACGAUCCCUAGCUGGUCUGAGGGGAUGACCAGCCACACUGGAACUGAGACACGGUCCAGACUCCUACGGGAGGCAGCAGUGGGGAAUAUUGCACAAUGGGCGCAAGCCUGAUGCAGCCAUGCCGCGUGUAUGAAGAAGGCCUUCGGGUUGUAAAGUACUUUCAGCGGGGAGGAAGGUGCUGAGGUUAAUAACCUCAGCAAUUGACGUUACCCGCAGAAGAAGCACCGGCUAACUCCGUGCCAGCCGCCGCCGUAACAC
rnacentral:rRNA from 1 species